AGGGCACCACCAGGCGUGGAGCCUGCGGCUUAAUUUGACUCAACACGGGGAAACUUACCAGGUCCAGACAUGGCGAGGAUUGACAGAUUGAUAGCUCUUUCUUGAUUCCAUGGGUGGUGGUGCAUGGCCGUUCUUAGUUGGUGGGUUGCCUUGUCAGGUUGAUUCCGGUAACGAACGAGACCUCGGCCUGCUAACUAGCUUCGGGGGGCUUUUGCCCCGCCGACGCUUCUUAGAGGGACUGCUGGCGUUCCAGCCAGCGGAAGCGCGAGGCG
rnacentral:rRNA from 1 species